UCCCCGACGAAAAAGUUGCACGAGUUUUAAACGAAGUGAAAUUUUAACGAGGUUAAGAAAAUCUAGAAUUACAUAUAUUUUUAAAAAAGUGCAUGUUUCGAAUAACUUAUCCCUACUAAAGAAUUAAUAAGAAAAAUUAUUUUUCUCGCUUUUCAUUAAUUAAUCGUUCGAUACUUUCUCUUUGCAAAAGCAAAAAGUUGGGUAGAAGCAUUUUUUUUCUUUAAAUAUUGAAAUUUAAAAAUCAUUAAAGUCUAUCUUCUGAUACCUAACAUGCUAAGUUUAAUUUUUCUCAAUUCCAUAUUACGAAAGAAAAUGCUUUUCGUAAAGCAAUUCGUUCUAAUUUCUACUUUAUUCUAAAUUAUUCUGAAUCCUACUAGGAUAUAUCGAAAAAUUAAGAAUCUUUAGAAUCGUGUAACUUAUAGCUAGGCCCUGAAAAAAAAUAUUGUUCUCAAAACGAUCCAUUUUACGAGCUAUUUCUCUUUUACUACGUUUGUUAAUAACUUUUCUUCAUUCUUUCUCAUUUUUUUUUUUUUUGCGACAUGAUUCAGCUUAAUCCUGCUUCCUUACCUCGUAAACUCUUAUGAAUACUAAAGUAAUACGCAGUAUUACGAUCGAUAUAGGAAAUUAAUGCUCUCUAUUAUUAUCAUCGCGACUAUAUAACCCUCCCUGUACACUGUUCCACGAGAUAUUUUAUACGUGACGCUGCAUUUCCAUAUUUCUGCAUUCCUCACAUUCAAAUCUCUUAAUUAAUAAACGAUUAAUCGUUAUCUUUAUCUGUAAAUCAUUUUAACCACGUCUCUCGUCACGGAAUACGAGGAAUUCUUUUCGAAAUUUCCAUCAUCGAAACGAGUAAAAAUAAAACAGCCAUCUAGGAUUCGAGCGAAACAGCACGUGACCUUAAAACGAUCGUAAAACGGAGGAACAGUGUCUGCGAUUUAUGACGCUGUUUCUGGAUUGUAUGGGACAGCUUAACACCGAGAGAAUUCGAAGAGAAUUUGUACGAGGACGGUGCAUAGUUCUGCGGUGAAGAAUGCAUCGAGGAAGAAACGUCGAGUCUCUGCGCUCAAUGCGAAUUACGAUUAUAUUUUAUUAGGAAAGACAUGGACUGGAGAAUUCUUUGGAUUAUUCGUUUCGAGUAAAAAUUGUUUAAAAUACUUUGAUAUUCGACUUUUUGCAGACGGAUGGGUAGAUUGGGGAUAACUAUUGGAGCAGGCGUUCACGACUCGAAAUAAGGGAUGUCCGACAAACGAGCGACUCGUACUACUGAAAACACCAACAUAUCUUUACCUUCUCACAAUCUUAUACACGAUGUAAAUCGUUUUACAAAAUGGUGUACAACCGAUUUCUCCACUUCUUCUCGCAAAUCGAACUCUUUUCUCUCUCUCGAUUCAAUCUACGAAAUCCUGCUUACCACGAAACGCAUUCCAACGACGAACAAAACCGCCUCCCCAUCCAGAUCAUGGUAGUGUUUUUCCACAAUCGAGUUUCAUAACUCGAGUCGGCUUACACAUCUAAUCCAUUACUCGGCUCGUGAUACACGAGGGUAUAAGCAGAAACGUGGAUCGGAUCGUAAAGGAGAUUGUUGAGUCGGUGGUGGAUGCUUAAAGUUGAAAGAACUUGGAUCGCCGAAGGGGCAAUCGGUGUAAUGGCGACACAGCGAGGAAAGAGCGAUUCCUCGUUGCUCUUUGGAUUCUUCUAAUCGAUGGAAAGAGUAACGUCGAUGGCCUCCCGUCGAUAUUUCCUAAAGGAUAGUGAUUUUGAAAAAAGGAUAAUUUGGGAUUAUGAUUAAGCAUGGGAAGAUAUUGGAGAAGUAAUAUUUUGGUGAAGCAAAUAUUUGGAAGUUCAAUUUUAACAAAUCGUACAAAUUGAUUAAGAGAUUCGUAUUAAGAUUCAUAUUAAUCAUACGUAGAAUGACACGGAGAAAAUAACAUGGAUAACCAGACAAUUUGUCGAAAAUUAAAAUAGCGGAGAUGACAUUGAAAUGUGUACAAUUUGAAAUAUAUUUUAAUUUUGGAUCUACUCUUUUAAGGAAUUUCAAACUUGCGGAAUGAAAGUAUUUUGUGGAAUAAAAAUUUCUACAAGUGUUAAUUAAUAAAAAACUCUUUGAAAA